CUCGCUGCACUGGAGAUGCUGGGACCUGAGGUCUGUGGCUGCUCUGUGCCCCCUGAUGUCCCCUGCACAGCUGUGCCACCGCAGCGGGCGGGCAGAGGCAGAGAGGAGGGGAUGGGCUCUGGAGCUGCUGCACAGCAUGCUGGGCUCACUGCAGCUCCUGCUGGCUUUGGGAGAAGAGUUUGGGAAGCAUAAGUACGGUGAGAUGUCUGACGAUGGAGCUCUGUCACUCAGAGUAAAACCGGACUGUCUGCUGUUGCAAACCUCCCCAGCUUGGCUGGGACCAACGUAGGAGGAUGCAUUUGGUCCUGACGCUGUCUGUAGCGUGGGUAGAACACAAGUGAUGGAUACGGGAGUCCCACCGGCCAGCACCUCUCAGGCUUAACAUCGUGCACCAAGCAAGCACUGAGCUCACUGGGUUUACGGGUGCAAGUUGGCACUAAAGGAUGCUUAUCCUCACUGCUCGGAUUUCAGACACUGGAAAACGUGUGUGAAACCCUCUGCUUGGUUUGCUCUGCCUCGCCUGCUCCCUCAGCUGCCGUUGCUUCUCAGGAGCCCAUCCAGGUGGCCGAGGCCAUCAGCUCUCCCCAGCUCAGAGGUAGAACACGGAGCGUACCUCGCUAGCCAAAAACUGCCGAGAGCAUUACCUCCACGGGUACCCAAGGAGACUGAGAGCCGUAUUUGCACUCUGAAGGGUUCGUGAUGCAGCUGCUGCCAAGGCAGUGACUCAGGAGGAGGACAGAGCCCCGUGUGCCCCAUCACAGUGCCUCCAAUCUGCAGCUUCCGCUGCGAGCACACGGAGCAAAGCCUUUUGUGUCGCACUUAUCGUCAGCUCUGCAAGCAGGAAAGAAGUCAAAGCAGUUUGCUGUGAAUUGCUGGCUUCAGCAGUUGCACUUCCGUGCUGUCUCUCUCCUUCACAAGUAAAGUGAAGAAAUCCAUGUGCAGAGAGCCUAACAGUGAUCUUCAAGGCCAAAAAAGGCCAUGGACUUGGAGCCCGCAGGGCAGCUUGCAGGAGGUGCAGGCAGGGAACGUCUCGCCAAGAAGCCCCGGAGCCCAAAGGGUGCGGUCAGGGAUGGAGGUGGGAACGCAUCCCCAGCCCACAUCCCCACCCAGGUGACACUGCCUGGUUCUGCUCUCGCCGGGCGCUGUCACCAUCCCCCCCCCCCCCAGCAUGCUCCUUCUUGGGUGCCAUUUGGGCCCAAGAAACAGUGUAGCACGCCAUGACAUCAGACUGAGGGCUGUAAAUGUUGCGAGCACGGAAAGUUCAUUGCUGUAAGGCAGCGGUUCAUAGGGUAAGGCUGCUGGUUCCUGCUGAGCAGAGGCUGAGUGCCCCACAUCGCCCCACUGCCAACUGUGCCUUUCCCUGGGCUGCACCCACACUCAGUCCCAG
rnacentral:lncRNA from 1 species